CAAAGGCUACACAUUUGUGUCACCCACAUGAGUGUCACAUGCCACAGCGACACAACAAAUAAAUACAUCUCUCACGA